CUGGGGAUACAGCUCAGUUGGCAGAGUGCUUGCCUCACAUGCAUGAGGCCCUGGGUUCAAUCCCCAGCACUACA
rnacentral:tRNA from 1 species